UUUUUUGCUGUUUCCAUGGCAACGGCGGCCAUUUUGAAAAUUCCAAACUCAAAAGUCAAGUCUACAUAAGCUAGGCAACAUUUGUUAUAAGUUUCAUUAAAUUUAAAGCAUUUUGAAAAUUUGAAGUUUUUCAUAUUUUUGCUGUUUCCAUGGUAACGGCGGCCAUUUUGAAUAUUCCAAAGUCAAACCCCCGCUGCAAUUUUUUCCCUCCAUAAUCAUAUAUACCAUUUAAUGUCUCUAGAAUAAAUUUAACAUUGAUGUUCUGGAAUGUUCUGUGAAAAUUCAAAGUUUUGACCUUUUUGCAUUGUUUCCAUGGUAACAACAGAUAUUUUGGAAAUUCCAACGCCAAAUUCCACAUCUUCCAAUGUUGCUCAUCGUUACUGUGAAGUUUCAUGAAGUUUGGAGCAUUUUGAUAUUUUUGAAAUUUUUGGUGUAGUUUCCAUGGCAACAUAGUAGUUCCAAUGAGUGCCAAAAUCAUCCAACACCUGUAUAUAGUGGGC
rnacentral:lncRNA from 1 species